rnacentral:lncRNA from 1 species
GGAAAUUAUUUUUCUUCCUAGUAAACUAUAUGAAGUGAUCAUAUGGAGUUACUUAGGAAUCUAAAGAAUACUCAUAUCUAGGAUCAAUACAGUUGUGUUUAUUUGCUAGAUUUAACAGCAUGGGUGUCUGCAAUAUUUUCCUUUUGAUAGAGUUUUGUUUAGAAAUUGAUUUAAAUCAGAUGUUGGGAAGAAUUUUGAAACUGUCUUACACAUUUGGUUUGUUUUUUUUCUUUUUCAUUUAUCUUUUGUAGAUAUUGUACCCCAAGAUAUUUGGACUAUGAAGAUUUGGAGCGCAAGUACUGGAAGAAUUUAACUUUCGUGGCACCUAUCUAUGGUGCAGAUAUUAAUGGGAGCAUAUAUGAUGAGGACACAUUCUCAACAACAAUGGGAAGAUGACAGCAGCAGUGCUCAGUACACCUGUCCGGAAAAUGUCAGACUACAACUUAACUGCUCUCUCUCUUCUCUUCCUGAGAAUUGCGCACAAUUGAAAUGAUCCUGUGGUGGACAUCCCAGAAAAUUUUUGAUUGGACAGUGAAUUCUGGAAAAAUAUUUAUAUUAUUAAAGCAUAUAUUUGGAAAAUGAAUACAGGAAAUGAAGGAGAUGUGUAUUUUUGUACUUCUUCUGCCGUAGACUGGGUCCAGUGAUGGCAGCUGUCGUUUGGUAUAUGCUGUCUAGCCCUCGUCCCUAAUGUGCCUACUGCACAAAUAUGCCUACGUAACUGUAGAACUGAUGAGCACAUAGCAACAAAAAAAGGGCCUGGG